UACGGAAGGCAGCAGUGGGGAAUAUUGCACAAUGGGCGCAAGCCUGAUGCAGCCAUGCCGCGUGUAUGAAGAAGGCCUUCGGGUUGUAAAGUACUUUCAGUCGUGAGGAAGGUGUUAAGGUUAAUAACCUUAGCAAUUGACGUUAGCGACAGAAGAAGCACCGGCUAACUCCGUGCCAGCAGCCGCGGUAAUACGGAGGGUGCGAGCGUUAAUCGGAAUUACUGGGCGUAAAGGGCACGCAGGCGGUUAAUUAAGUUGGAUGUGAAAUCCCCGGGCUUAACCUGGGAAUGGCAUUCAAGACUGGUUAGCUAGAGUCUUGUAGAGGGGGUAGAAUUCCAUGUGUAGCGGUGAAAUGCGUAGAGAUGUGGAGGAAUACCGGGUGGCGAAGGCGGCCCCUGGACAAAGGCUGACGCUCAUGUGCGAAAGCGUGGGGAGCAAACAGGGAUUAGAUACCCGGU
rnacentral:rRNA from 1 species